GGGUGGUUGGCGCAAUGGUAGCGCGUUGGUUUUCGGUUCGCCCAAAAUUGAUCACCAAAGGUUGAGGGUUCGAGUAUGUUUGUCUCUUCAUCCC